rnacentral:rRNA from 1 species
GCGAAAACUUUACAAUGCUGGCAACAGCGAUAAGGGAACCUCGAGUGCCAGGUUACAAAUCUGGCUGUCGAGAUGCCUAAAAAGCAUUUCAUAGCAAGGGCCGGGCAAGACCGGUGCCAGCCGCCGCGGUAACACCGGCGGCUCGAGUGGUAACCGUUAUUAUUGGGUCUAAAGGGUCUGUAGCCGGCCGGAUAAGUCUCUUGGGAAAUCCAGCAGCUUAACUGUUGGGCUUUCAGGAGAUACUGUCUGGCUCGAGGCCGGGAGAGGUGAGAGGUACUUCAGGGGUAGGGGUGAAAUCUUGUAAUCCUUGAAGGACCACCAGUGGCGAAGGCGACUCUCUGGACUGUAACUGGCGCUGAGGCUCGAAAGCGUGGGGAGCAAACA